AAGUCGUAACAAGGUUUCCGUAGGUGAACCUGCGGAAGGAUCAUUACAAAAUUAAUAAAAAUAUCCCAACCUUUGUGCACCGUUCCCAAGGAAAAAGAAAUAUAAUAUAUUUUUUUUUUCUAUUCUUCUCUACACCUAAAAUAUAUUUUUUUGUUUGGCUAAAGUUUUAUUAAUUUAAAAAAAAAAAAAAACAACUUUCAGCAACGGAUCUCUUGGCUCUC
rnacentral:misc_RNA from 1 species